AAAUCGUGGUAAAUUAGAGAUUUGAAAACUUUGACCGCUGCAACCAAACCAAGAUAAGUAAAGACUAAAGACAGGUGUAAAGGGAAAUAACAAUCAACAAAUGAAUUACCCCAGGAUCGAUAGCAGAAGAACUUUUGGGUUUAUCAUCUUCUUCAUCCUCAGGUUUUUCUUUGACCUGGGCACGACCACGUGAUACAUUUGUGCUACAAUCUAUGUCCUCGAUGAGCAGAAUGGACCCGUUGGUGGUGGAUGUGAGUAUACGUCUAAGAUCAGCAUCCUUUCGAACGCUUUGAAACUGAAGAUCAUAUAUAUCAUACCUCAAGUAAUUUGCAAUUGCAGCAACGAGUGAUGAUUUUCCUGUCCCUGGAGGACCAUACAAAAGGUACCCACGUUUCCAAGCCCUGCCAACAUUUUCGAAAAAUUCCUUGCGUUUCCCAAAUGAAUCAAGAUCACCCAUUAUGAAUUGCUUAAGCUUUGGCUCGAUUGCCAGUGUCUCAAAUGUUGCUGGGUGCUUGAAAACUGCGGACUCCCACAUGGAGCAGUCUUGGUCAUAUGUGUAAAUGCUGAGGCUCUCACGCUUGUUCAGAAUUACUUGUGCUUCUUUGCUAAUGUAGGUGAAGUACCUUUGCUCAACUCUUUCUCUAGCGCUUUUCUUACAGGUCACGGCGAAGUAUCUCUUAUUGGGAACGUAGCACUUUUUGGUUUCAAUUGAAGAGAAAGUCCACUCCAAGCGUAUCCCCUCAAAAUCAUCCAUGAUCGUGCAAUUUACAGGGAUGCUUCGUUUGGGUGGUGCUGUGGGUUCAUUGGAGUCGUUGAAACCUACAAGUAGACUGUCGCUGGAAGGGCCAAUUCUGGUUGGCAAGUAGACCUCAGCAGCCCGAAACAGUUGGUUAUCAGAAGCUUGCCAGCGGUCUUCGAUAAAGAAGGUGAACUCUGAAGAGAAGUAAGUGGAUGUCAGCUCGGAAAAUUUUGAGGCAAUGUAGUCUCUCAUCCGUUCUGGGAACCAUUUCAUUUAAGAUUGUGCGGAUUAGCAUGACCAUGGCUGAGAUAGAGGCAUAAGCGGAGAGAAGAACGGAAAAAGAAGGUAGCUCUUUCAACAGGGUAGCCAUUCCUGCGUUUUACUUGUUCUGCUCUCUUGAAAACAAGAGAGAAACAGUGAAGGCUGAAAGCAAGAGGAAAAGAGGAAAAGGUUCAAGUACGUAGCCGACUGAAGGCUAAGUAACACUAAGUACUCCUUAUAUAGCAAAAAAGCAUUUUGUAUGAAAAUGAAAAGUCUUCAUCGUGUCCAUAUUCAAUAGCAAUACAGUCACGAGUCAUGACUAAUCGCAUCAGGGACGAAGGACCUGGAAAAGAUACAAUGAGAACUGCUGGACUUAACCUGGCACACUGGCCCAUAGUAUUAAGAUCAACAGCUUCCAGGAAACUAUAAAAAAGGGGGAAAACGUCAAGUCGGCGACUUUUAUCUUCUAAAUACUUUGUUUGAAUAUUAUGUAUAUGUAAAUGUAAUAAGAUCAUAUCAUUUGUGCAAAAAAGUUCAAAAUCAAAUUGCUUCAUAGUUAAUUUCCUGGGCUCGUCUUACUUGGUUUUGCUGAAACAAAACUUUAAUACAGGUCCAUGGCUCUUUUUACAUGGAUCCACCGUCAUCGGCUGCUUUUCUUUGUUACUUUAGAGCCACAUAUUAGGGAAUAUUUCUUCGCUAAUCCAAACAAACAUGUCAAAAUUAGCAACUGGCUAGUGGUGAGGAAAUCAGCGUGCUUCACCUCAGAGUCUUGUCAUGAUUUUAUUUAGACAAGAAGAUAAAGAAUCGUUGUGUCGCCGACGUGCCACCUUGCUGCGCAAGUAGUUCGUGGGACCCUUUGUCGCUGACGAUCAGUUCGCUUCUUCCAAUCCUUUUUCGACUGACUCAAGGAAAACGACAAGCAGGAAGGGAAAUGGAGAAAUGCAUAACAAUUACUCAGUUUUAAAACAUGCCAGUUCGUGUAUUAGCGUAUCUAUUAAAAUAAUUGAAACUGUCUUGUAAUUAUUUCAAUCUCCGAUUUGUUAUACAUCUCUUUGAUUUCUUAAAAUAAAUUAAAGAAUAAAUUUGGAUUAUAAAAAAAUUGUAAAGAAUAAUAAGAGAGACUUUGGAAUUGAUUGAUUGAGAUGGCAGUCGUUCAAACCAUCGACAUUUUUAUAAAAUUUCAUUUUAUUUUUAUUUUUUAAUCUCUUUUUUGACAAGUUGAUUGAGGUAGUGUGGUAGGUGAAACUAGAUCAAAGAGUCCAUCCAUAUUUUUCUUAUUUUUUUUAUUUUUUAAAAUUUAUUUUAUCAUGAUUUGUUUUUUAAUCACUCUCUCCUCUUUUCCCUACCAAAUCUGUUCCAUCCGCCCAUUGCUCAUUCCCUGUUUUGAGCCUCAUUGAUCAGCAGAUUUUUAGAUUUUAUAUAACAGAAGGUUGAUGCUAAUAGAAUUUCCCCCACGCAUACUAUUUGGGAUAAUCUUAUUAGCUGUUCAACUUGUUUGAACAAAAUAUAUAAUCCAAUUGUGCCGAUGAGAAGGAUAAAACUACUGUUAACAUUAUUUUUUUUCUUUUAUUGAAGAUUUGAAGUGGGAUUAAUUAUCAUUGUAUGCUUUUUCUAACAUUGGAAAUCAACAAAAUUAUUUAUUGAGAUUUUUUAUUUAUAAAUGGGAUAAAUUAUUUACUUAAGAAGAUAAUUUUAAUUUUAUAAUUCGAUAAUUUCAAUCAAACUUAUUUUACGAUAUGUUAAUUUCAUUGUCUGUUGAAUGUCUUUACAUGCAAUAAAAAAUACUUACACCAAUACAAUGAACUUCGUUCUACAAUUCUUUUGUAAUACAUAUGAUGAUAUUAAGUUCUUUUGUAAUACAUAUGAUGAUAUUAAGUUCAUUACGAAAAGACUCUAGAAGUCAAAGUGCUUUGACUUGCAAAAAAAAAAAAGGAUUUAUAAGUCUUUUUUUUUUUUUUGAGUACCAACUACCAAGUGGGUUUUUUUGUACUAUAAUUGCAAGUGUUGAUUUCUAUCAACAAAGAAAGAUGUGUUGUAGGCAACUGAACUCCACUUCAUUUGGGCCCAACAAUAAACUUGGCAUCCUUUUCGGCCUAAAAUAUGAUGAUUUUUGGUAUGACAUUAACAAGUUUAAGGUCAGGCCCCAAAACGGGUAAAAAAAUUUAAGGUAUGAGGUUCUCCAAAAGUAAAGAACUUUUUACAGCAUGACUAUGGGUUAGCUUUUUGGCCCAAUUAAAGCUUUUCAUGAUAAUGUUGGUUGCUCAGGUUAAUGGUUGCAAAGCAAGUUCCUAGAUUCAUUUACCAUAUGUGCACUCUGCACAGCGGCUAGACCCUUGGCCCAUCCAAACCUGCUCUCUCUUACACACACACACACACACACACACACACAUACAUGCACAUUCAUGCACGUUGGUAAUAAUGUUGCUCAAUUUCCACUUUUUUGUUCUUUACCUAAUUUUUAUUGUAUAACACUAUAACUUGUGACAAGAAAGACAUAUAAUACAGGAUUGUUCCAUUGUAUUUUGUAGAUAUCUUGUAUGAUUCAUGGUCCCCAGCCAUGACAGUUAGUUCUAUCUGUAUCAGCAUUCUCUCCAUGCUAUCGAGCUCAACUGUGAAGGUUUGAACUUUGAAUGUACAUUCAAUUGACUUUCUGGAGUGCUUUCUUAUUCCAGUAUGUCUUCAUGCCAUGCUUGUACCAUGCAUAGGGCACUACUGGGAGUGAGCACUACUGUUUUUGUAAAUAAUGGGGAUAUUGAUAUCGUAUUUUUGUUUCUUUAAGUCCAGAACUCUUUUUAAUACUUUUAGCCAUGCUUGCAGCAAUGUCCUGAAGACAACGAUCGCUAUGUAAAGAACUGUAGAAAUGGCCGGUCGCCCAAGCAGACCAGUUGGUGGUUCCAUGAUGACAAAGUUUAAUUGCAAGAGCAUCUCCCUGCAUCGAUUAGUCUAUAAGAGCUAGAGUAGACAAACUGCUUCCUCUUUUAAGGAAAACGGAAACAAAAGGAGAAAGCAUUUUCCCAAUCAAAGUUAAAUGCUUAAUAACUCCUGUAAAUGCCUAUGCUGGUAUUUGGUACGGAAAGAGAAAAGUCGGUCUUUCUUUGGCAAUGGUGUUUAACCUGUGCGAGAGAUGCUUGGUGCCCUGUAAGCACAUGAAUGAGAAACUCUCUUUCUGAAACUAUUUUCUGAACUUGAGUUUUAUAAUUAUAACUUGGCAGCAGAUGAGACUGAUGGAUCAUCCAAAGGCGAAACUUGAGUCUUGUUUUAGAGCGUUAUGUAUGCUGGAUCACUUUCAUUAAGUAACUGCAUUUUAUUUGAAAAAGAAAAAAGAAAAGGUAACGGUGGUUUUCAGUUACUUAGGUAACUCUGAUUGUGAUCAUGCAAACAUUUUCCACAAAUACAAUUAUGCAAAGUGGAACAGCAAAUACGCGGCUCCAGCCUCCAGUGAAUUUUUUUUAUUGUUUGUUUUCACAUUUUUUGAGAUUUAUCUUUGUUCCAGGGUACAAGCAUAUUGAUAGCAGCAAAGAAUCACUGAAAUUCUUGAAGGGAAAAUCGAUAGGAUAGCUUAUAAAAAGAAUCCAUCGUCAAAGUUUAGUUCUAGAACAGGUUGUGUAGAAUCAUCAAGAAAUCAUAGUAGUGAUUGAUUAUAAUGAAAACCUAAAUAUGAACUCGGCCGCGCCCGCAAAUCAAUGUCACCUGACUGUAAUCCUGGCAAUCAUACAUCAAUAUCAGCCAUGUAUGCCGGAUCACUUUCAUUAAGUAACUUUGAUUGUGACAUUUUAUUUGAAAAAGAAAAAAAAAAGGUAACGGUGGUUUCCAGUUACUUAGAUAAAUGUGAUUGUGAUCAUGCAAACAUUUUCCACAAAUACAAUUAUGCAAAGUGGAACAGCAAAUACACGGCUCCAGUCUCCAGUGAUUUUUUUUUAUUAUUUAUUUUCACAUUAUUUGAGAUUUAUCUUUGUUCCAGGGUACAAACUUAUUGAUAGCAGCAAAGAAUCACUGAAAUUCUUCAAGGGAAAAUCGAAAGGAUAGCUUAUAAAAAGAAUCUAUCGUCAAAAUUUAGUUCUGCAACAGGUUGUGUACAAUCAUCAAGAAAUCAUAGCGGUGAUUGAUUAUAAUGAAAACCUAAACAUGAACUCGGCCGUGCUUGCCAAUCAAUGUCAGCUGACUGUAAUCCUGGCAAUCAUACAUCAAUAUCAGUCAUUCUGCAUUUGAACAAACCAUUCACAAAUGCCUCGCACUUCUUCUUUGUCCCAUUUUCCUCAGAGGAGGUCUAGCAAAGUUAAAAACCAAAAAUAAUUCGUUAUCCAAAUUGCAUAAGAUAAUUUUUAACAAAUAUAGUAGAGCAGCAUCAAAUUAACAAUAUAAAUAUUGCCCACACAACUAAAUACUCAUGACUUCCGUUAAUAAUCACCUUCUUCCUCUUUUUCCAUGGUUGUCUCGACCAUGUUCUAACAGAGGUUGUAGCACACUUCUGCUUCGUUCAUGGGUUCCUAAAUCAUUCACCAACCCUUUGUUCAUGUACGUAUACUCUUGUAUGUUUCUUCAAUUGCCUGAAAUGAAUAAUGUGCCCCCAUCAUUUACCGAUGCAUAUCAUUCUAAUUUUGGUUUAACAUUGUCCAUUUAUUAGUCAUCAUCACUACAAAUGUUAGGUCGCCAAUACACUACCUCCCACUCUCUAAUUAAUAAAGAAUUCAGCUCAAGAGUAUCGACUAGGUCAGAAAUCUUAGUAGCAGACAAGAGAAGACAGAUUGAGAGGAAUUCAGCUAUAUAGUUUUCAAAUCGCAAUCUGAAAAGAAAAAUUAUCAUAUACACACAAAUAAUAGAGUCAUUCAACUUACAGAUGGGAUUUAUUCGAGUUUUUUAACUUUACAAAUGGAAUUUAUUUGUCCUUCAAGGUCCAAUACUGAUGCAUUUGAAUCGUUUGCUCAUGAGAAAGGUUGGCAAUGAGACGGAUGGUUUGUGAACUUGAUACUCUGACAUAUAUUAAUCUUAUCAUCCAUGACAGAGGGUUUUAUAAAGCCAUCAUAUUCUGAAGUUUGCAUCAAACAACAUUCUUUGUAUUGCAUUUUUCUAACAAAAUAAGUUGUUGUCAGAACAGCAGUGGGCCAGUGGCUAUGCAUGCUGUGACUAUAAUAUUUUCACCGCUUUCAAGUAGUCAAAGACAGUAUUUAUUUAGUAAAAUGAGUCAGAUGUAUAAACAAUAAAGCUGGAAUUCCAGUGCAGAAACCAGCCUGCAUGUAUGAGAACACAUCUCUUAUAAUACUCUGCCUGUUGUAUUUUAUCACAAUUUUGUAAGGAGCGCUUAUUACUAGUAACCUGCGCAUAUAAGUUACAAACAAGGCUAUAUUGUCUAAACUAGUUUAUUAAAGUUAUCUAAUUGAUUCCAGGGAGCUUCGUCUUGAUCUUCUCAAGUAUUCCUUUCUUCUCAUGGUGCUGGGGCAUUCUUUUCAUCUUCUGUUGUUGCCUUUGUUCAGCUGUUGGGGCAGCGGGAGAUUUGUCUUUUAUAAUCAUGUCGCCUUCCUCAGUCUGCACAUGGAAUUAAUAUUCACAUAUUAAAACGUUUAUCUCAAGAAAUUAAUCAGAAAUAUAAUCUCUAUGGUAUGAUGCUUAUAUAUUUCUUAUGAUCAAAGUUCUUUGAUUUGCCAUAAUUAGAUCAUACUCCAUUCCAACAACCCAGCUAACUUCUUAUUGCAUGUGAUGUGAUCUGAUCUGUGAAGCAUAAAUCUUGAGUGUUAUAGUUUUGGCUGUGGGCAUAUUGAAAAAGUUACAUAUAAAUCACUUGCCAUGAAGCAACAGAAUAUGGUUUCUACCCAAGAUUUUUAGCAGCUAAUAAGUUCCCCGACCAGCUAAACUAAGUCAAAUAUAUGCAUCUUGUUUCAGACUCAGUAGGCUUUGAAUUUUGUCUUUCAACUACCUUUUCCUCCUUUUCAACUACACCCUCUUCUGUCUUCUUCUUCUUCACGUUGAGAAAGUCUAUGAGACCUUCGAGUGCAGUUUUAGGGUCAUCACUGAUCAUAAGUUGUUGUGCAACUUCAGCUGGAGUAACUUCAAUACUUUCAAUGAGUUCAUCAAUGCAGCCGAAUAGUUUGGCUUCUUUGAUUCCAGCUUCUUUGAUUCCAAGAUAUGUAGUUGAAAGUUUUCUGAAUGCUGCUGGAGUACAAUAUCCCAUGUAAAUAUGCACAUCCAUACGCCCUGGCCGUAGCAGAGCUGGGUCUAACAUUUCUUUGUGAUUUGUGGUAAAGAUUAUGAUUCUUUCGUUUCCACAACUCGACCACAAUCCAUCAAUGAAAUUGAGUAAGCCUGACAGGGUUACCUACAAAAUUGUGGUAAAUUAGAGAUUUGAAAACUUUGACCGCUACAACCAAACCAAGAUAAGUAAAGACUAAAGACAGGUGUAAAGGAAAUAACAAUCAACAAAUGAAUUACCCCAGGAUCGAUAGCAGAAGGACUUUUGGGUUCAUCAUCUUCUUCAUCCUCAGGUUUUUCUUUGACCUGGGCACGACCACGUGAUACAUUUGUGCUACAAUCUAUGUCCUCGAUGAGCAGAAUGGACCGGUUGGUGGUGGAUGUGAGUAUACGUCUAAGAUCAGCAUCGUUUCGAACAAUUUGAAACUGAAGAUCAUAUAUAUCAUAACUCAAGUAAUUUGCAAUUGCAGCAACGAGUGAUGAUUUUCCUGUCCCUGGAGGACCAUACAAAAGGUACCCACGUUUCCAAGCCCUGCCAACAUUUUCGAAAAAUUCCUUGCGUUUCCCAAAUGAAUCAAGAUCACCCAUUAUGAAUUGCUUAAGCUUUGGCUCGAUUGCCAGUGUCUCAAAUUUUGCUGGGUGCUUGAAAACUGCGGACUCCCACAUGGAGCAGUCUUGGUCAUAUGUGUAAAUGCUGAGGCUCUCACGCUUGUUCAGAAUUACUUGUGCUUCUUUGCUAAUGUAGGUGAAGUACCUUUGCUCAACUCUUUCUCUAGCGCUUUUCUUACAGGUCACGGCGAAGUAUCUCUUAUUGGGAACGUAGCACUUUUUGGUUUCAAUUGAAGAGAAAGUCCACUCCAAGCGUAUCCCCUCAAAAUCAUCCAUGAUCGUGCAAUUUACAGGGAUGCUUCGUUUGGGUGGUGCUGUGGGUUCAUUGGAGUCGUUGAAACCUACAAGUAGACUGUCGCUGGAAGGGCCAAUUCUGGUUGGCAAGUAGACCUCAGCAGCCCGAAACAGUUGGUUAUCAGAAGCUUGCCAGCGGUCUUCGAUAAAGAAGGUGAACUCUGAAGAGAAGUAAGUGGAUGUCAGCUCGGAAAAUUUUGAGGCAAUGUAGUCUCUCAUCCGUUCUGGAACCAUUUCAUUUAAGAUUGUGCGGAUUAGCAUGACCAUGGCUGAGAUAGAGGCAUAAGCGGAGAGAAGAACGGAAAAAGAAGGUAGCUCUUUCAACAGGGUAGCCAUUCCUGCGUUUUACUUGUUCUGCUCUUGAAAACAGAGAGAAACAGUGAAGGCUGAAAGCAAGAGGAAAAGAGGAAAAGGUUCAAGUACGUAGCCGACUGAAGGCUAAGUAACACUAAGUACUCCUUAUAUAGCAAAAAAGCAUUGUGUAUGAAAAUGAAAAGUCUUCGUCGUGUCCAUAUUCAAUAGCAAUACAGUCACGAGUCAUGACUAGUCCCAUCAGGGACGAAGGAGCCUGCAAAAGAUACAAUGAGAACUGCUGGACUUAACCUGGCACACUGGGCCAUAGUAUUAAGAUCAACAGCUUCCAGGAAACUAUAAAAAAGGGGGAAAACGUCAAGUCGGCGACUUUUAUCUUCUAAAUACUUUGUUUGAAUAUUAUGUAUAUGUAAAUGUAAUAAGAUCAUAUAAUUUGUGCAAAAAAGUUCAAAAUCAAAUUGCUUCAUAGUUAAUUUCCUGGGCUCGUCUUACUUGGUUUUGCUGAAACAAAACUUUAAUACAGGUCCAUGGCUCUUUUUACAUGGAUCCACCGUCAUCGGCUGCUUUUCUUUGUUACUUUAGAGCCACAUAUUAGGGAAUAUUUCUUCGCUAAUCCAAACAAACAUGUCAAAACUGGCAACUGGCUAGUGGUGAGGAAAUCAGCGUGCUUCACCUCAGAGUCUUGUCAUGAUUUUAUUUAAACAAGAAGAUAAAAAAUCGUUGUGUCGCCGACGUGCCACCUUGCUGCGCAAGUAGUUCGUGGGACCCUUUGUCGCUGACGAUCAGUUCGCUUCUUCAAACUCUUUUUCGACAGACUCAAGGAAAACGACAAGCAGGAAGGGAAAUGGAGAAAUGCAUAACAAUUACUCAGUUUUAAAACAUGCCAGUUCGUGUAUUAGCGUAUCUAUUAAAAUAAUUGAAACUGUCUUGUAAUUGUUUCAAUCUCCGAUUUGUUAUACAUCUCUUUGAUUUCUUGAAAUAAAUUAAAGAAUAAAUUUGGAUUAUAAAAAAAUUGUAAAGAAUAAUAAAAGAGACUUUGGAAUUGAUUGAUUGAGAUGGCAGUCGUUAGGCUGUCAAACCAUCAACAUUUUUAUAAAAUUUCAUUUUAUUUUUAUUUUUUAAUCUCUUUUUUGACGAGUUGAUUGAGGUAGUGUGGUAGGUGAAACUAGAUCAAAGCGUCCAUCCAUAUUUUUCUUAUCUUUUUUAUUUUUUAAAAUUUAUUUUAUCAUGAUUUGUUUUUUAAUCACUCUCUCCUCUUUUCCCUACCUAAUCUGUUCCAUCCACCCAUUGCUCAUUCCCUGUUUUGAGCCUCAUUGAUCAGCAGAUUUUUAGAUUUUAAAUAACAGAAGGUUGGUGCUAAUAGAAUUUCCCCCACGCAUACUAUUUGGGAUAAUCUUAUUAGCUGUUCAACUUGUUUGAACAAAAUAUAUAAUCCAAUUGUGCCGAUGAGAAGGAUAAAACUACUGUUAACAUUAUUUUUUUUCUUUUAUUGAAGAUUUGAAGUGGGAUUAAUUAUCAUUGUAUGCUUUUUCUAACAUUGGAAAUCAACAAAAUUAUUUAUUGAGAUUUUUUAUUUAUAAAUGGGAUAAAUUAUUUACUUAAGAAGAUAAUUUUAAUUUUAUAAUUCAAUAAUUUCAAUCAAACUUAUUUUACGAUAUGUUAAUUUCAUUGUCUGUUGAAUAUGUCUUUACAUGCAAUAAAAAAUACUUACACCAAUACAAUGAACUUCGUUCUACAAUUCUUUUGUAAUGCAUAUGAUGAUAUUAAGUUCUUGGGUAUGUCAAGUUCAUUACGAAAAGACUGUAGAAGUCAAAGUGCUUUGACUUGCAAAAAAAAAAAAUGAUUUAUAAGUCUUUUUUUUUUUUUUUUGAGUACCAACUACCAAGUGGGUUUUUUUUGUACUAUAAUUGCAAGUGUUGAUUUCUAUCAACAAAGAAAGAUGUGUUGUAGGCAACUGAACUCCACUUCAUUUUGGCCCAACAAUAAACUUGGCAUCCUUUUCGGCCUAAAAUAUGAUGAUUUUUGGUAUGACAUUAACAAGUUUAAGGUCAGGCCCCAAAACGGGUAAAAAAAUUUAAGGUCUGAGGUUCUCCAAAAGUAAAGAAUUUUUUACAGCAUGACUAGGGGUUAGCUUUUUGGCCCAAUUAAAGCUUUUCAUGAUAAUGUUGGUUGCUCAGGUUAAUGGUUGCAAAGCAAGUUCCUAGAUUCAUUUACCAUAUGUGCACUCUGCACAGCAGCUAGACCCUUGGCCCAUCCAAACCUGCUCUUAGGCCGGGCCUAUUGGUCUGAACUUAAAAGUUUAUCUGAAAUUUUAAAAGAUUUAGAUAUUAAUAUUAAGUUCAUUAAAAAGAUUUGAACAAAUAAGAUCAAGCUUAAGUUUUAUCAUUUAAAGCUUGAACAUUGCUCGAAAAUCAAAAAAAUAUUUUUACUAUAACGAGAUGAAGUACAUUUGUUUUAUUUUUUAUGCUAAACAAGAUCCAUUUACUUUAUUAUUUAUAAUAGGAUAAAGUUUAUUUUUUUAUACAAAACAUUAAAAUAAUGAUUCAAUUUUAAAUUACAUCUAACAAAAUUAAAUUUAAUCCAAACCCAAAUAACUUGUAAAUUUAAUUAAAAUUAAUUAAAUUUAUAAUUUAUAAAAAAAAGUAAAUUUUUUUAUUUUUUUCAAUUUUAAAUACUAAUAUUUUAGAGGAAUUUGAACUUUAUUAUUACAUAAAGCAAUGGACUUAGAGCAAAAACUAAGGGUCGAAAAAUAAGGCUGAGCUGAACUUGAAUUUGUUUAAAAUGCUCAAAUAUUAUGCUAAACCCGGCCCAAACCAUAAGCAGCUCUAGGCCCAUCCUAAUUUUUGGCAUCAACAAUUCAUAGUGUUUACAAACAAGUGUUACAUGCUUUAUAGUUAUUCUGUGAAAAGGAUUGAAUUCUAGUGGAAUUCUGAAGAUAAGUAACAAACAUGCAUGGUGAUUUUUGUAUAUUUUGCUUUUCUAACAAAAUUCAGACGGACUUAAAUUUACUAUUCUCUCUGACACUUUAUCCAAUGACAGGUGAUCUAUAGAUAGAGUAAAUUUCAUGCGUUCUGGCAAAUAACUUCACUGGAAAAAGGAAAGGAAAAUCCUAUAUUUUUUUGGAAGGGAAGAUUAAACUUUGUACGAUCCGAGCAACAAGUAUAGCAUGUAAAGCUUUGCUGUUCAACACCCGUUGGACUGGAAAUGGAUUUCAGUCUGCUCAAUUCCAAUGCCCCGAAUCGACAGACUCCAGGUGAUAGUUCAUCCAAAUUACAAUAAAGCUUCAUUGAGAGCAUCGCUCUUUCUUAUUCAAAGCUGAAAAUAAAAGGGUUUUUAUAUAUAAUAUUACCUUUGGUAUUGAUCAAUUGCAAAUUGCCCUUCAUGUACCACGGAAGCAGAAUUCAUUUGAUUGAUGCAAAUUCAGAACAAAUUAUCAAUCACCAGAAAAAGAUACCAUAUUUUACAUUUCCCCUUUUAAACAACGUAUACCUUAAUUUCGCUUAAUCCUAGACAGGUAGCUCUGAUGUACAACUCACUCGUAUCAAAAAGAUUUAUCUCUGGUUGCUUUACUGUAGCUGUUCUAGUUUUGUCUGAAUUUUCAUGUACGACGGACAGUGUCAGGUUUUGAUAGUUGAUUUAUGAUCUAUUUGGAUGGAUGAUGAGAUUAAUUUUAUUGAAAUUAAAAAUAAUAAUAAAAAUAAUUGUAAUUGAAAAAAAAAUUAUAAAAAAAAAUUUAUAUUAAAUAAAUUUUACUGAAGUUGAUAUUUUGAUUUAACUAGUGAUAUGAUAAGUUCAAUUACACUAUACCAAAGGUAUGGUGAAAUCCAAAUCCAGGUUUAUAAAUAUAAAUUUCAUAUAUAAUUUUUAUAGAUGUUAUAUAAUUAUUAAUUUAAACUUAAUUUUUAUUGAUUAAUUAUAAGAAAAUUAUCGUAGGAAUAUGCUCCCUCAAGUACAUCAUAUAUACACUUUACUCACCGGCUACACUAUCAACAAUUAAUAGUGUUUACAAACAACUGCUAUAUACUUUAUGUUUAUGGCUAGGUAUACUAAUACUUCUGUGAAAGGACUUAAUUCUAGUGCAAUUGUGAAGAUGGCUGAGAAACAUGUGACUUUCUGUAUAUUUAUCUUUUUCAGGAAAAUUUACACGAGUUAAAAUUGCUGUUCUCUCUGAUACUUUAUCCAAUGGCAAAUGAUUUACAGAUCGAGUAAAUGUCAUGUGUUCUGGCAAAGAACUUUUCUGAAAGAAAGAAAAAGGAACGAAAAUCAUUGGAAAAGGAAAGAGUAAACUUUGUAGGAUCCUUCCUAGCAACAAUUAUAGCACAUAAAGCUUAACAGAGAGCAUCUCCCUUUCUUAUUCAAAGCUGAAAAGAAAAGGGCUUUUAUAUAGAGUAUUACCUUUAGUAUUGAUCAAUUGCAAAUAGCCUUGAAUGUGCCAGAGAAGCAGGUUUCAUUUUUCAGAAAUUGUAUUCCCCAUUUUCAAGCACCAGAGAAGCUACUAUAUUUAUAUUUCCCCUUUUAAAAAAACGUAAGCUUUUCGCUUAAUCCUCGACUGCUAGCUACGACCAAAGACCUCCCUAGCUAGCUCCCCACCGUAUAAAUCACUUGUAUCAAAAAUAUUUAUCCUGGGUUGCCUUGUUAGAGCUGUUCUAGCUAGUUUUGUCUGAAUCUUCAUGCACGCCUGACAAUGCCAGGUUUUGGUGGUCGACUUAAUCUCUUCGUUUAUCUCAAGCCAACGCAAGUGCAUUACGUUACGCCUCUAGGUUUUGUGCAUGGCCAACAUGCACGAUAAGCUCUUGAUUUACUACAAUAUUGUUCCUAUCUUGCCUAUAUAAACCCUUGCAGUUCAGGUUUAGUCAAUACCAAAAUCCUCCUUCGCUUUGAACUAAGUAGAGAAAAAUAGCCACGGCAGAUCGUGAUCGAAGUCAAUUCCAGCGUGUUCAACGUGAAGCUCGCAGAAUGCAUAAAGAAAAGAGAAAGGCCAAGGAUAACAAAAUGACAAGUACUGAGGAACCGAUGCCAAAACUUGAAACAAUUAAUGAUAGCGGCAAGAAGGAUACUGCAACAAAGAAAGGCAAUAUAUCCUUGGCAAGCCCCUACAUCGCUCAAGCUCAUCCUCCUCGUCAAGCUCUCCAUCUGUAAGCCUAAUUACCUACUUUCUAUCUAGAUGACGGUUGGUUUCUUUCAAUUAGCUCAUGUUUACUUAUCAUAACUCCAUUAUCAACUCUCUUUAUCUAUGAACAUGUUUUUUAUAUGAGAAUUUAACCAUAUAUAUGAUCUUAAUUUGCCAUUUGCAUUUCUACUUUGUGCUUGUAAUAAAUGGCUUCGAAAUGGAUUUGCUUGAAAGAUUGACUCCUAUUUCAUCGAAUUAAAGCUUUCACAAUGCUUAAUGAUAAGAAAGCCAAUGUACAAAACUCUCAUUCUUGAAAAAGAAAAGGGUAAAACCUCAUUAAUAAUUUAAAACUAUAUCACACUUAAUUACAAAAAUAUACAAUAGCACACUUGAGAAUUUAGCAGUUAUAAGCAUCAUACCAUAGAGAAUAUAGUUCUGAUUAAUUUCUUGAGAUAAACGCUUUAAUAUUUGAAUAUUAAUUCCAUAUGCAGUCUGAGGAAGGCGACAUGAUUAUAAAAGACAAAUCUCCUGCUGCCCCAACAGCUGAACAAAGGCAACAGCAGAAGAUGAAAAGAAUGUCCCAGCACCAUGAGAAGAAAGGAAUACUUGAGAAGAUCAAGACGAAGCUCCCUGGAAUCAAUUAGAUAACUUUAAUAAACUAGUUUAUACUAUAUAGCCUUGUUUGUAACUUAUAUGCGCAGGUUACUAGUAAUAAGCGCUCCUUACAAAAUUGUGAUAAAAUACAACAGGCAGAGUAUUAUAGGAGAUGUGUUCUCAUACAUGCAGGCUGGUUUCUGCACCGGAAUUCCAGCUUUAUUGUUUAUACAUCUGACUCAUUUAACUAAAUAAAUACUGUCUUUGACUACUUGAAAGCGGUGAAAAUAUUAUAGUCACAGGAUAUAUAGCCACUGGCCCACUGCUGUUCUGACAACAACUUAUUUUGUUAGAAAAAUGCAAUACAAAGACUGUUGAUUGAUGCAAACUUCAGAAUAUGAUGG
rnacentral:lncRNA from 1 species